AGUGAACGCUGGCGGCGUGCCUAACACAUGCAAGUCGAACGGAGUGGCGCACGGGUGAGUAAUGUAUAGCUAAUCUGCCCCAUACUAGAGGACAAUAGUUGGUAACGACUGCUAAUAAUCUAUAGUGUCGGAUGGGGCUAUAUUGUAUCAGUUAGGUUGUGAGGUAAGGGCGCGCUAAGGCUAUGACGCAUAACUGGUCUGAGAGGAUGAUCAGUCACACUGGAACUGAGGCACGGUCCGGACUCAUUGGACAAGCGGCAGUAGGGAGUUGUGCUCAAUGGGUGUAGCCCUGAAACGGCAGCGCGGCGUGGAGGAUGACACUUUUCGGGGCGUGAACUCCUUUUGUUAAGGGAGCGGUACCUAAAGAAUAAGCACCGGCUAACUCCGUGCCAGCAGCCGCGGUAAUAC
rnacentral:rRNA from 1 species